AGCAGCCGCCGCGGGAAUACGUAGGUGGCAAGCGUUGUCCGGAAUUAUUGGGCGUAAAGGGCUCGCAGGCGGUUUCUUAAGUCUGAUGUGAAAGCCCCCGGCUCAACCGGGGAGGGUCAUUGGAAACUGGGAAACUUGAGUGCAGAAGAGGAGAGUGGAAUUCCACGUGUAGCGGUGAGAUGCGUAGAGAUGUGGAGGAACACCAGUGGCGAAGGCGACUCUCUGGUCUGUAACUGACGCUGAGGAGCGAAAGCGUGGGGAGCGAACAGGAUUAGAUACCCCUGUAGUCCCUGUCUCUUAUAC
rnacentral:rRNA from 1 species